rnacentral:lncRNA from 11 species
GUGUAACGAUGCGACGGUUAAUGAGUGAAAGAUUGGUAUCGAAAUCGUGUACGUACAUUGAAAAGUGAAAAUUGGAAUAAAAAUUAUUUUAUUACGAAGCAUUAUGCUUAAAAGUCUGUCGAAUAGAUACAUUUUUAAUUUUAUUUUUUAAAAUUGUUAUAUUUGUUAUAAUAAUAUAUUUAUUCGAGUAUGCAGUGAACAAAUUUCCAGAUACAAUUAUCUUAAAAAAAAAAAAUGGAGCAUCUAAAUGAAAAAUUUACCUCAGAAGAAUCUUUUUCUUCAAAUUUACCACGAUUCUGAGAAGUUUUUCAUUUUUAUUUCACCAAACACAUUGUUUCACAACGGUGAAUUUCGUUGCCUUCUUCGAAAUAUUCUUAUUCUUCAAACAUAUAUUACGAUUCUGAAAAAAAUCCUUAUAUAUUUUACGAAAUAAAUCGAGUCGUCCUUCAAGACUUAUUUUCACGAUUCCUUUAUUACAAACUUGCAUCCGCGCUCUCGCGAUCAUUGUGAUAAUUGUAUCCAAUUUCCCAUCCGGAGGAACGAGAUUAAUGUUUACUUCGUUCAAAGCUCGCCUUACCGUUGAAAUUAUUCUUCGAAUGCGCGAAACAAAAAAAAAAAAAAGAAAAAAAAAGAAAAACCGUGGAUCGGAUAAGACGGCUUAAACGUGAUGGACGGAUAUCAGAGGAUUAAGGGAUUAAAUUAAGUUCUCCCCGGUGGAAAACUUGGAAGGAUAAAAGAAGGAAGAGAAUGCGAAGCAGACGAAGAAUCCCCCUUUCGAAUCUCCCGCUCCGAGUCCACGCCGGAAGCAUGUAUCGGGAAGAUUAUUAGGAACCAAUUAGAAAUAAUUUUCCCUCGUGUCACCGCGCGUACGUGUAUGUGUAUAUAUGUGGGGAAAUGGAGCAAAGUAGUUGGCGGAGGAAGUUUCGAAACUAUCGAUAAUGGUUGUUCGACGAAUGGAAGAUCCAUGUCGUGUCGAGGCGCCUACUUCCGGAACACUUCUUUGCUAGUUCGUUCGUUCGUUCGUUCGUUCGUUCGUUCGUCUGCCCGUGUAAACGCCGCGAGAGGCGCUGUAUCGCGUUUUUCAAACGAUACACGAGAUUUCGCUGUGUUUGGUUGAGAAGUGAAAUAAGUGAAUUUGCGUGGUAAAUUAGUGAUUCUUUUGUAUCGAAUAUUUCGAGAGUGGAUUAUUAAGUUUUGUAAUAAUUUGGUGCAGUUUCUUUUUUGGAUUAAAACGUCUGAGAAGAGAAUUGCUGCACGCCCACGCCAUCGCGCUCGAUAAACCGUGGCGUGAUUCUCGUCGAUCUCGCCUCGAAGUCUGAUGAUGGCCGAUGAUUGCGGAUUUUUAUGCAGGUGAACGAGUUAUUUGAAAUACAUGUGAAUCGCUAUACGAUGUAUCGCGUAAUAUUUUACGUGUAAAUUUACAACGAUAAUGAUCAAUAAUGAAGCAUUGCAAAGAGGAUUAAAACACGUCAAUACACGUCACGCUGGAUAGCAGAAAGCAACUAGUACGUCACGUAUAUAUAUGUGGCACGACGAAAGGAUUGAAGAAACGAUAUAAAUGAUUGCCAUGAUAAAAGAGGUACUGCUUUUGAAUUGAACAAGAUAUGUAAUUACGUUAAGAUAAAUAAAGGAUUCAUCUUCGAUUGAAAAUAACAGCAACAACCUUCGAGAAGCUUGGAUUUUUCUUUCAAUUUUAUUUUAUUCCAUAAAUACAACAAUGUUAAUAUGUUCCUGAGAGUUGAUUCUCAAAACAAAAGUUGUAUAAAAAAAAUGUCGAUUGAGGAUUAUUUAUUAAGUAGUAUAUUUCUGCAUUCAACAGAGACAGAGAUGGGCAUUGACCUGUUGAAAAAGUAACUAGUUAAAAAUUUCGAAUAAACUUGCCUUAAGUAAUUACCCAACCUUGGCUGUUUGGCACCACAAAUAUUCCCUAUUAUUAUUAUUAUGUUUUGAACUAUAAAUUAUUAAAGUAACUUUAUUGGUAACUUUAACAACUAUUAAAUUUUCAUCACUGUCCAUUUUAUACAAGGUGUCCUAAAAAUAUUGGAAACCAUCUAUAAACUGGAGAUUCCUGAAGAGGAAAAUUAGGAGAUUCCUCCUAAUUUCAAAUAACAUACUAACUAAAAAACACUAGCCAAAGACAUGAAGCCUAGUGAUAGUUGAAUAAACUUACUUCCAUAAUUUUUAUUAUUCAAAAUAUAUAAUAAUAAUUGCAAAUAAUUGUAAUGUCGAACAAUUAAGGUUAUAUGAAAAACAGAAUAAAUUAUUAUUCUGUUAAGUAAUUAUCCAACCUUGGCUGUUUGGUAUCAUGAUUAUUCCCUAUUAUUAUUAUUAUGUUUUGAACAAUAAAUUAUUAAAGUAACUUUAUUGGUAACUUUAACAACUAUUAAAUUUUCAUCACUUUCAUCCAUUUUAUACAAAAAUAUGUGUCCUAAAAAUAUUGGAAACCACCCAUGAACUGGAAAUUCCUGAAGUAAUUUCAAAUAACAUACUAAUCAAAAAACACUAGCCAAUCACAUGAAGCCUAGUGAUAGUUGAAUAAACUUAUUUUCAUAAUUUUCAUUGUUCAAAACAUGUAAUAAUAAUUGCAAAUAAUGUCGAACAAUCAAGAUUAUAUGGAAAACGGAAUAAAUUAUUAUUAUUCAAGCAUUUUUCAAUAAUUAAUCGCUCAAAGUAACUUUAUUUUUAACUAGUUACUUUUUUAACGGAUUAACAAUAGCAUAAUAGCUAAUGGUAGCGUGAGAUAACAAACAAUUAAUUAUCUCAUUGAUUAUCAAACGGAUAAAUUACCAAUAAACAACAACGCAAUAUAGCAACGAGCUUUAACAUAAAAUUCUCUGUGUCUCUCCCUGUUUUCGUACAGUGGACGAUCUAAUAAACUCUACGAAUUUAACAGUGCUUUCGUCACGACCGGUUAUCUCGAUUCAACUACUCAAUUUGCGCCAAAGAGCAGAAUUUCGAGGCCCACGCCUAUCGACAAAACCAGCAAAAUUCGGUGAAUGCAUUUAUCCAAUCAAACGUGACGAUUUGUGAUACAUCAAUAAAUCAUAUAUACGCCUAUCGUGCCACAGCAUUACGGAAGAUACAUUUUAAGAGAGAAAGAAAAAUAACACGCUUUGAGGACUGAGGAUUUCGUCCCCUCUUGUGUGAACUUCCAUAUAAUCGGAUUGGUGCAAUUGGGAUAUGCAAGGGUGGUGGAAAUUGGAGGAAGGUGGAAACGGCUUUGGGAGGAGAGGGGGAAGCAUCCGGUGUGUGUUCUCGACAGAAGAGAAGACACCCUUCAUCCCCUUUUUCCGGGCCAAAAAUCGGCCAAAAGUUCAUGUAUUAAAAGUACCUACAAGGCCAAUAAAUUAGAACUGGCGCUCUGCCAUUUCAAUCUCGCGGAUCUUGCUCGAGACAAGAACGCUGAAAACCCUUCUAUGAACCAUCAUUUUAUUCGAUGGGAACGACACGUCUCAACGACGACAGCGACAUUUAUCCGCUAUGGAUGAAAUAGAAUGGAAAAUGAUCAAUUUUCAGUCAUCGAGCUAUGUGUAAUGUAAUCUGAUUAAAUGUAAUUCUUCUGCACGAAGAUCGGAUGAUAAAACGAUAUGUAAUGAAUAUUUUUGUUGAUAUUCUAAGAACAGAAAUUAAAGAUACUGGAGAGUAUAUUUCAAUACUCUUCCACUGGAGGAAUUAUCGAAAAGCAUAGUGUUACUUAGAAAUUGUUAAUUUAUAUUCUAAAAAAGAAAAAGAAGAAAGAAAAAAUCAUAAAAAUUCGAAUGUCCUGCAAUUUUUAUAACGAUACGAUUAAAAGGUAUGAUACGUUGAAACAGUAAGAGGGAUGCGUGAAAUUUUUCCAUUGAAAAACACGUGAUCGAUGAACGGUCCAAACGGCGUCUAUCUAUCAAUCCGUGAAUUAUCAUGAGAAGCGACACACGGGACGGGGAAGAACUUAAACGUUGGAAAAUCAAUAUCCUUUGUAGGGAGAGCAUGGUCGGUCGUGAGGUUAAUGCUUGCCCUGUAUCCGAAGCAAAGUUUUCUUUUUUUGUUUCUCCUCCUGUAGCCUGUUAUACCAAAUAGGGAGAAGGAUGCAGAGAAUAAUGUAAUAGACGAGGCAGGAUAAAGAGAGUAGCAAAGAACGAUCUGUCAUUAGAAUUGUCAAAUUGAUUGAAAUUGUCUUUAAAAUUAAAACGUUUCAUGAUUGAAUCACUUUAAUCACAAUUGUUUGCGUGUAAAAUAUUUAAAUCUUAUUACCUAAUAUUAGUGGUAAUUUUUUCAAUACGAAGACGAAAGUUAACGAUAAAAGAAAUUAAAAAAUCUUUUCUAUAGAAAAGAAGAAAAUUUCUUUUUCUUUUGUCUCUUCAUAACCUAUUAUUAAUAAUGAACUGAGGAUAGAGAGAUGCAAAAUAAGAUAGAUAGAGAUUGAAAAGAUUGAGUAUUUAAUCAAAUGAAGCAAUUGGAUUAGGUUAAGUUCGUUGUAUUUGAAAGAAAAUUCUUUUUUCGUUUCUUCUCUGUAACUUUUUUUUAUUAGUCGAAUGGAGAGAUGCAAAGGCAAUAGACAGAGAUAGAGCACGAUAAAGGAAACGGGAAAAAGAGAGAGAGAGAAAGAAAUACAUCUACUCGAACCUCGAAGUAUUUAACCGAGUGAAGCAGUUGGAUUAGGUUAGGUUUGUUGUAUUUAAAGAAAAUUCUGUUCUCUCUCUCUCUUUCUCUCUCUCUCUCUCUUCUCCGUAGCUUUUUAUCGGCCAAAUAGCGAGAACAAAGAGAUACCAAGAAUAAAAGACACGGAACGCGAUAUCUACUCGAAAUCCACUUAACCUAGUCAAGCAAGGAAAAUUUGUCGAUUCUCUUUUUCCUUCUCCACCAUUGCCUUUUAUUAGCCGAGAAGAGAGCGACGCAAGGAAUGCAAAAUAAAAGGCAUGGAACGCGAUAACUACUCGAAUCACUCAAUCUAUUCCACCGAAGGAAAUUUAAGUUAGGUUAAGCUGGAAAAUUUGUCGUAUCUAGAGAAGAUUCUCUCUCUCUCUCUCUCUCACUCACUCACUCACUCACUCACUCUCUCUUCUCUCCCCUCCAUAGCCUUCUGUUAGGCGAAUGAGAACGAAGAAGAAAGAAACGAGGAGCGCAUAGUAAAAGAAACGUGAUAUCUAUUCGCUUAACCUGUUCUCGAGGCGAGGCAAAGUGUUUAAGUCAGGUUAAGUUGGAAAAUUUAACCGAGUCGUAUCCGAGGGGAAAAAUUCUCCUCCAUUGGGUUUUAUUGGCGUGAACGGCGUGAAAAGAAGGGCGCAAAAGGAGGUGGAAGAGAUAGUGGGCGAUAAAGGAAACGCGAAGAUAAAGAAAUAUAUCAUUUUGCUCGAGACGCGUAACCGAGUGAGGCAAGGUUACCCCCUUGGAAUAUUCUACUUAGGGAAGGCAUUCGGAAUCAGAAAAGAAUGCUUAAAGGCGAGCUUUGUCCCGGUUUUAUUCCGGCCUUACCUCGUGAAUUGCGCAUAUUAGGUAAGUGUGGCGUUGCACAACUGCCGCUCGGUUGCGUUCCAGCUAAAACUCUCUCCGCCUCGGCCCCUAUCCGUGUACGUGUUACACAGAAGAGAGGAACGUUUCUCUGGAGGGUGCCAAGGACGUCGUGGCAAGGGUUCGGGGGCUACUUCAAAUUAUACCGACUAUUCAUAUUCUUGUCCGUGCGCUUGUCGUACUCUCUCCUCUUACGUUCUAUACCCCCUUAUGGAAACAAUCUCUGCUUUGCUAGCCGUUUUAUCGAGUUCCACGAAUAACGUUUACUUUAAUGCAUUUUAUUAGAAAAUGUCGUGUAAAUGUUUCCAAUUUUUCUUCUUUUUUUUUCCACGCUAUCCUCCAUGCGAUUGAUUUCGCAAUUUCAAUUAGCUAUAUUAAAUAUAUAUAUAUUUCUUAUGAUUAAAUUUUUUCUAAUUGAAUUAAAGUGGAGCUUUCUCGUUACGCGUGUUUACGUGCCACGAGGACGAUUAUCGAGGAGAAAGGGAUUACACAAAGAUGUUAAAAGGGAAGAUCGAGUUUUGCUAAUUAAAUUAAGCAGCUUUCACGAUAUUGAGAUCCGUAUAAGAGAGAUGUAAUCCGUCUCGCAGAGAAAACGUCAAUGGAGAACGUAAAAAUAUUAUUGCCUCGAUAAGCAUCGCGCACCAAGAUUCUAGAUAGAGGUUAAUUAUAAAUUCUCUUGUAUAUUCCUGACAGUUUUUAAUUUAUCUCAAAUACACGAAAUAUACAAUUUGAA